GACGAACGCUGGCGGCGUGCUUAACACAUGCAAGUCGAACGGAAAGGCCCUGCUUUGGUGGGGUGCUCGAGUGGCGAACGGGUGAGUAACACGUGGGUAACCUGCCCUGGACUUUGGGAUAACUUCGGGAAACUGGGGCUAAUACCGGAUAGGACGUCCGUCUGCAUGGUGGGGUGGGGAGAGUUUCGGCGGUUGGGGAUGGACUCGCGGCUUAUCAGCUUGUUGGUGGGGUAGUGGCUUACCAAGGCUUUGACGGGUAGCCGGCCUGAGAGGGUGAACGGCCACAUUGGGACUGAGAUACGGCCCAGACUCCUACGGGAGGCAGCAGUGGGGAAUAUUGCACAAUGGGCGGAAGCCUGAUGCAGCAACGCCGCGUGCGGGAUGACGGCCUUCGGGUUGUAAACCGCUUUCGCCUGUGACGAAGCGUGAGUGACGGUACUGGGUAAAGAAGCACCGGCUAACUACGUG
rnacentral:rRNA from 1 species